AGGCAGCAGUGGGGAAUAUUGGACAAUGGGCGCAAGCCUGAUCCAGCCACGCCGCGUGAGUGAUGAAGGCCUUCGGGUUGUAAAGCUCUGUGGGGAGAGGCGAAAACAGUCAGCAAGAAACGGCUGAUUCUUGACGGUAUCUCCUUAGCAAGCACCGGCUAACUCUGUGCCAGCAGCCGCGGUAAUACAGAGGGUGCGAACGUUGCUCGGAAUUACUGGGCGUAAAGCGCGUGUAGGCGGACCGGUAAGUCAGAUGUGAAAUCCCUGGGCUCAACCCAGGAACUGCAUUUGAAACUGCUGGUCUAGAGUAUCGGAGAGGGUGGCGGAAUUCCUGGUGUAGAGGUGAAAUUCGUAGAUAUCAGGAGGAACACCGGUGGCGAAGGCGGCCACCUGGACGGUCACUGACGCUGAGACGCGAAAGCGUGGGGAGCAAACAGGAUUAGAUACCCUGGUAG
rnacentral:rRNA from 1 species